ensembl:lncRNA
GGCUCAGGAUCUUGUGGAGGUCACUGCUCAUUUCCCUGGGUCCUGGUGCACACAAGGUGCUUUGUGCCCUCUGAGCGUCUCUGACUACAGCUCACUAGGCUCCACUGUCCUCCAUAUAUCCUGGAUUUUGCUCCAAUUCAUGUACAUUGAGUCUGUGAUGCUAUCUAACCAUCUCAUCCUCUGCUGCUCCCUUCUCCUUUUGCCUUCAGUCUUUCCCAGCACAAGGUCUUUUCCAGUGACUUGGCUUUUUGCAUCAGGUGACCAAAGUAUUGGAGCUUCAGCUUCAGCAUCCACCCUUCAUAUGAAUAUUCAGCAUUGAUUCCCUUUAGGAUUGACUGGUUUGAUCUCCUUGCAGUCCAAGAGACUCUCAAGAGCAAAGCACCACAAUUCAAAAGCAUCAGUUCUUCAGCGCUCAGCCUUCUUGAUGGUCCAAUUCUCACAUCCAUGCCUGACUACUGCAAAAAUUGGACUGUAUGGACCUUUGUCAGCAAAGUGAUAUCUCUGCUUUUUUAUAUGCUAAGUUUGUCAUAGCUUUCCUUCCAAGAAGCAAGCAUCUUUGAAUUUCAUGGCUGCAGUCACCAUCUGCAGUGAUUUUGGAGCCCAAGAAAAGAAAAUCUGUCACUAUUUCCACUUUUUCCUUUCUAUUUGCUAUAAAGUCAUGGGACGAGAUGCCACGAUCUUAGUUUUUUGAAUGUUGUGUUUUAAGGCAGCUUUUUCACUGUCCUCUUUCACCAUCAUCAUGAGGAUCUUUACUUCCUCUUCAUUUUCUGUCAGCAAAGGAGUGGUAUCAUCUGCAUGUCUGAGGUUGUUGAUAUUUCUCCCAACAAUUUUGAUUUCAGCUUGUGAUUCAUUCAGCCCAGCAUUUCGCAUGAUGUACUUUGCAUAUAAAUUAAAUAAACAAGGUGACAAUAUACAACCUUGUUCUUUUCCUUUCCCAAUAUUGAACCAGUCUGUUGUUCUACAUCUGGUUAUAACUGUUGCUUCUUGAUCUGCAUACAGUUCAGUUCAGUUCAGUUGCUCAGUCAUGUCCGACUCUUUGUGA